UUGUGUGUUAGUCAUGUGUUC
ensembl:piRNA 21ur-331 ncRNA